UCCUAGAUUCUACAAGGGGGUUGCUCCUCUCUGGAUGAGACAGAUAUCAUACACCAUGAUGAAGUUCGCCUUCUUUGAAUGUACUGUUGAAGCAUUGUACAAGUUUGUGGUUCCCAAGCCCCGAAGUGAAUGUUCAAAGCCAGAGCAGCUGGUUGUCACAUUUGUGGCAGGUUACAUAGCUGGAGUCUUCUGUGCCAUUGUUUCUCAUCCUGCUGAUUCUGUGGUGUCUGUGUUGAAUAAAGAGAAGGGUAACAGUGCUUCUCAGGUCCUCAAGAGACUUGGAUUUAGAGGUGUGUGGAAGGGACUCUUUGCCUGUAUCAUCAUGAUUGGCACUCUGACUGCACUACAGUGGUUCAUCUAUGACUCUGUGAAGGUCAACUUCAGGCUUCCUUGCCUUCCUCCACCUGAGAUGCCAGAAUCUCUGAAGAAGAAGCUUGGGUUAACUCAGUAGAUAGAUGGAAGCAAAUGUGGACUGAGUCUGCUUAUUGAUCAGUGUUGAGGAAAAUGAAAAAGGAACUUUAAUACAUUUGACAGUGUAGGAAGUUGUCUGUUCUGAUAUAAUUACUGUAGUUCUCUUGCCAAAGGCAGGAGUUUCAAACUUACUGUUGAAAUAAACCCCACUGUCAUGAA